GACGAACGCUGGCGGCGUGCUUAACACAUGCAAGUCGAGCGGAAAGGCUCCUUCGGGGGUACUCGAGCGGCGAACGGGUGAGUAACACGUGAGUAAUCUGCCCUUGGCUUCGGGAUAGCCACCGGAAACGGUGAUUAAUACCGGAUACGACCACUUCUCGCAUGGGAUGGUGGUGGAAAGUUUUUCGGCCAGGGAUGUGCUCGCGGCCUAUCAGCUUGAUGGUGAGGUAAUGGCUCACCAUGGCUUCGACGGGUAGCCGGCCUGAGAGGGUGACCGGUCACACUGGGACUGAGACACGGCCCAGACUCCUACGGGAGACAGCAGUGGGGAAUUUUGGACAAUGGGCGGAAGCCUGAUCCAGCAACGCCGCGUGAGGGAUGACGGCCUUCGGGUUGUAAACCUCUUUCAGCAGGGACGAAGCGCAAGUGACGGUACCUGCAGAAGAAGCACCGGCCAACUACGUGCCAGCCGCCGCCGCGGUAA
rnacentral:rRNA from 1 species